ACGGAAGGCAGCAGUGGGGAAUAUUGCACAAUGGGGGAAACCCUGAUGCAGCGACGCCGCGUGAGCGAUGAGGUAUUUCGGUAUGUAAAGCUCUAUCAGCAGGGAAGAUAAUGACGGUACCUGACUAAGAAGCCCCGGCUAACUACGUGCCAGCAGCCGCGGUAAUACGUAGGGGGCAAGCGUUAUCCGGAUUUACUGGGUGUAAAGGGAGCGCAGGCGGUUUUUUAAGUCUGAUGUGAAAGCCCGUGGCUCAACUGCGGGACUGCAUUGGAAACUGGAGAACUAGAGUGUCGGAGGGGCAAGUGGAAUUCCUAGUGUAGCGGUGAAAUGCGUAGAUAUUAGGAGGAACACCAGUGGCGAAGGCGGUCUACUGGACGAUAACUGACGCUGAGGCGCGAAAGCGUGGGGAGCAAACAGGAUUAGAUACCCUGGUA
rnacentral:rRNA from 1 species